CCAUAUCAUUUGACCUCUACCCUCCAAUGGUUUCUUACUUCACACUAUCUAUUCUAAAUAUGUUCUCUGAAUGUAGAUAUUCGAAACAUAGAUAGUCUCAGCGAUUAAGAGUGUUCCAUAUCUCCACAGAUGUUUAAGUAAGUGGACAGUUAUCAAAGAUUUUCAUUUUUAUCCUUUUUGAAGUUGAGAUUUCGGGGAACGAAAAUGAUUCAACUGAAUUUAGCUUUCUUUGUUUUCGGACUAUUAUUUUGUGUUACGUCUACGUUUUUUAUAGGAUUAUUUUGCUCAGUUGUCCGAGUGAUUAGGGCCCGUUUGGAUGUUUUUAACAUGGUUAAUCGAGUGUGAGUACCGCUGGUCAUAUUUAGAUGCUGACAUAUCAAAUUGGAGUAAUUUUGAAGACUACAAAACUUUUGCUCCUUCGAAAAUUUCAGGAAAUACAGAUUCAACCUUGACUCGACAUCGUAUCUAUUUAAAGGUAAGUAAUGUAAAAGAAGAGUUUAAUAAUUUUCGUGUUCAUAUUAACCGGCAUUUAUAUAAACUUCAAGAAAACACAAAGAAUACGCUAUAUAAAUAAAGUCAUA